rnacentral:rRNA from 1 species
ACACUCCUACGGGAGGCAGCAGUGGGGAAUUUUGGACAAUGGGGGCAACCCUGAUCCAGCAAUGCCGCGUGAGUGAAGAAGGCCUUCGGGUUGUAAAGCUCUUUUGUCAGGGAAGAAACGGUGGUGGCGAAUAACUACUACUAAUGACGGUACCUGAAGAAUAAGCACCGGCUAACUACGUGCCAGCAGCCGCGGUAAUACGUAGGGUGCAAGCGUUAAUCGGAAUUACUGGGCGUAAAGCGUGCGCAGGCGGUUGUGUAAGUCAGAUGUGAAAUCCCCGGGCUCAACCUGUGAAUUGCAUUUGAGACUGCACGGCUAGAGUGUGUCAGAGGGGGGUAGAAUUCCACGUGUAGCAGUGAAAUGCGUAGAUAUGUGGAGGAAUACCGAUGGCGAAGGCAGCCCCCUGGGAUAACACUGACGCUCAUGCACGAAAGCGUGGGGAGCAAACAGGAUUAGAAACCCCAGUAGUCCCAUGA